AGAGCACAGACAUCUAAGUCCGGAGUGGAGAGGAGAGAACCUAUAUAUCAAGCUAAGCUGUAGGUUCAUAGUUGGAAAGCUGGAAGAUGAUUUCCUUUGGAGACAUCAGAAGGCUGGGGAUGGUGCUGGAG
rnacentral:lncRNA from 1 species